UACGAUGGAACCGCUUUCGGGCGGGGAUUAGUGGCGAACGGGUGAGUAACACGUGGGCAAUCUGCCCUGCACUCUGGGACAAGCCCUGGAAACGGGGUCUAAUACCGGAUAUGACCGUCUGCCGCAUGGUGGAUGGUGUAAAGCUCCGGCGGUGCAGGAUGAGCCCGCGGCCUAUCAGCUUGUUGGUGAGGUAGUGGCUCACCAAGGCGACGACGGGUAGCCGGCCUGAGAGGGCGACCGGCCACACUGGGACUGAGACACGGCCCAGACUCCUACGGGAGGCAGCAGUGGGGAAUAUUGCACAAUGGGCGAAAGCCUGAUGCAGCGACGCCGCGUGAGGGAUGACGGCCUUCGGGUUGUAAACCUCUUUCAGCAGGGAAGAAGCGAAAGUGACGGUACCUGCAGAAGAAGCGCCGGCUAACUACGUGCCAGCAGCCGCGGUAAUACGUAGGGCGCAAGCGUUGUCCGGAAUUAUUGGGCGUAAAGAGCUCGUAGGCGGCUUGUCACGUCGGUUGUGAAAGCCCGGGGCUUAACCCCGGGUCUGCAGUCGAUACGGGCAGGCUAGAGUUCGGUAGGGGAGAUCGGAAUUCCUGGUGUAGCGGUGAAAUGCGCAGAUAUCAGGAGGAACACCGGUGGCGAAGGCGGAUCUCUGGGCCGAUACUGACGCUGAGGAGCGAAAGCGUGGGGAGCGAACAGGAUUAGAUACCCUGGUAGUCCACGCCGUAAACGGUGGGCA
rnacentral:rRNA from 1 species